rnacentral:misc_RNA from 1 species
GCAACUUUAGAUGAUGCUGCCACAGUCGAUCAGCUGCUACAGUUGAUGGGUGAUUGUGGGUUCAGGAUUUGGUCUGGCUAGCAAUUCAAAAUUAGACUGCUACAGUUGAUGAACUUAUCGGUCAUAAGUCUUUUAGCUGGAAUUCAAAUCUUAUUAGCUCUAAUUUUUUGCAAUUUGAAGCUUCUCAGAUUUUUAUUGGAGAAAUAAGAAUUUAUUCCUUUAGAGUUGGGCUCAAGGCUUUUGCAAAGAAGCUCUAUCUAGUGAUGUUAAUGAGCAAUUCA